UACGUAGGGUGCAAGCGUUGUCCGGAAUUAUUGGGCGUAAAGCGUGCGCAGGCGGUUUUGUAAGUCUGAUGUGAAAUCCCCGGGCUCAACCUGGGAAUUGCGUUGGAGACUGCAAGGCUAGAAUCUGGCAGAGGGGGGUAGAAUUCCACGUGUAGCAGUGAAAUGCGUAGAGAUGUGGAGGAACACCGAUGGCGAAGGCAGCCCCCUGGGUCAAGAUUGACGCUCAUGCACGAAAGCGUGGGGAGCAAACAGG
rnacentral:rRNA from 1 species